rnacentral:rRNA from 1 species
AACACGAAGAGCCUUUACUACCCCUUCACAUAUAGAAAUUCGCACAGAUGAUGGAGUUUCCAAAGGAACUUAGAACCAGUGGUGCAAUGUCGUUGUUCAGCUGGGUUUGUAGAAGGUGGGGUUAAUUCCGCAACGAAGGCCAACCUUUUUCUAUGUUCAACAAGGUAAGGGGGGGGACUUAAGGAGCCCCGGGGUAUGCUCGAAGGAAGGUGGGGAGGCGUCCAAUUCUCCAUCGCCUUUAUUGGUAGGCUUACCCCAGUGCUACAAUGGGGGUACAGAGGGAAGCCAACUCGCGAGAGGGAGCCGAUUCCAGAAACCGUUUUGUAGUCCGAAUGGAUUGCCACUUGGCUCCAUGAAGUGGAAAU